rnacentral:pre_miRNA from 1 species
AAUAAACUAAUUUUUCAUUUUUCUCUUCAAUUUUUGACUCUUCGUCUUAUUCAAACUUUUCUGUGAUUGAUAUUUUUGUUUUUAUUAGAUGAUAAAUUAUGAAUAAUACUUUAUGUGUGACUAAUUUUUUUAAAUUUUUUGAUUUUUUUUUAAAUAAGACGGAUGGUCAGACGUUGGAUACAGAAAUCGAAGAAUUCGUUUUUU